rnacentral:rRNA from 1 species
UGGCGACCGGCGCACGGGUGAGUAACACGUAUCCAACCUGCCGAUAACUCCGGAAUAGCCUUUCGAAAGAAAGAUUAAUACCGGAUGGCAUACGAAUAUCGCAUGAUAUUUUUAUUAAAGAAUUUCGGUUAUCGAUGGGGAUGCGUUCCAUUAGUUUGUUGGCGGGGUAACGGCCCACCAAGACUACGAUGGAUAGGGGUUCUGAGAGGAAGGUCCCCCACAUUGGAACUGAGACACGGUCCAA